AUAAUUAGAGAGGAUAGGGAGUUCCGGACCUGAGAGUGAAGAAUCAAGAAUGACGAGUUAGUCUCAGCCUCUCAGGCACGACCGCAGUCCGCACGGCGGCACGAGUCUUCGUCUUCCAGUCUUCGUCAAUCGUCAGACUAAAACCCUUCUUGAGAGAUUAUCGGCUAUCGCAGUAUCGCUCUAUGCCUCUAUCUGUCUAUCAGACUAAACAAUAAAGUUC
rnacentral:lncRNA from 1 species